rnacentral:rRNA from 1 species
UACGUAGGUGGCAAGCGUUAUCCGGAAUUAUUGGGCGUAAAGCGCGCGCAGGUGGUUUCUUAAGUCUGAUGUGAAAGCCCACGGCUCAACCGUGGAGGGUCAUUGGAAACUGGGAGACUUGAGUGCAGAAGAGGAAAGUGGAGUUCCAUGUGUAGCGGUGAAAUGCGUAGAGAUAUGGAGGAACACCAGUGGCGAAGGCGACUUUCUGGUCUGUAACUGACACUGAGGCGCGAAAGUGUGGGGAGCAAACAGG